GAUGAACGCUGGCGGCGUGCUUAACACAUGCAAGUCGAACGGAAAGGCCCCAGCUUGCUGGGGUACUCGAGUGGCGAACGGGUGAGUAACACGUGGGUGAUCUGCCCUGCACUUUGGGAUAAGCUUGGGAAACUGGGUCUAAUACCGAAUAUGACCACUUCUUGGAUGUUGUGGUGGAAAGCUUUUGCGGUGUGGGAUGAGCCUGCGGCCUAUCAGCUUGUUGGUGGGGUAAUGGCCUACCAAGGCGGCGACGGGUAUCCGGCCUGAGAGGGUGUACGGACACAGUGGGACUGAGAGACGGCCCAGACUCCUACGGGAGGCAGCAGUGGGGAAUAUUGCACAAUGGGCGCAAGCCUGAUGCAGCGACGCCGCGUGGGGGAUGAAGGCCUUCGGGUUGUAAACUCCUUUCGCUAUCGACGAAGCCACUUGUGGUGACGGUAGGUAGAUAAGAAGCACCGGCUAACUACGUGCCAGCCGCCGCAGUAA
rnacentral:rRNA from 1 species